AUUUGACCGUCGGGCAGUUUUACUUCCUCAUCCGGAAGCGUAUUCAUUUGAGGCCUGAGGACGCUUUGUUCUUCUUUGUUAACAAUGUUAUUCCGCCCACGUCGGCGACCAUGGGCACGUUGUACCAGGAACAUCACGAAGAAGAUUUCUUCCUCUACAUCGCGUACUCCGAUGAGAACGUCUACGGUCAGAGCGCCUAGAGUCCUCACGAGAAGCCCAGAUCUUCGCGCACUCAAUCGACAAGAAUGCCGUUUACGUGCCGCCAAUCUCGCCCUCGACAACCCGCGUGUAUAUUUACCAUUCUACUUUGGUAACGAUUAUU